GAUUGGUUUUUAGGUUGCCAUCACUGGUCUUGUCAGAUCUCAGGAGCUAAGCAGGUCGACUCUGGUUAAUAUUUGGAUGGGUGAUUGCCUGGAAAUAUUAGGUACUACAGGCU
rnacentral:rRNA from 1 species